rnacentral:rRNA from 1 species
GACGAACGCUGGCGGCGUGCUUAACACAUGCAAGUCGAGCGGAAAGGCCCUUCGGGGUACUCGAGCGGCGAACGGGUGAGUAACACGUGAGUAACCUGCCCCAGACUUUGGGAUAACCCCCGGAAACGGGGGCUAAUACCGGAUACGACACAGCUUAGCAUGGGGUCUGUGUGGAAAGCUUUUCGGUUUGGGAUGGGCUCGCGGCCUAUCAGCUUGUUGGUGGGGUGAUGGCCUACCAAGGCGACGACGGCUAGCCGGCCUGAGAGGGCGACCGGCCACACGGGGACUGAGAGACGGCCCAGACUCCUACGGGAGGCAGCAGUGGGGAAUAUUGCACAGUGGGCGGAAGCGUGAUGCAGCGGCGCCGCGUGAGGGAUGACGUCCUUCGGGUUGUAAACCUCUUUCAGCAGGGACGAAGCGUAAGUGACGGUACCUGCAGAAGAAGCGCCGGCCAACUACGUG